rnacentral:lncRNA from 1 species
CUUGAAUCAGUUCCUCCACGACCCCAUCAAUCUCUUCAUCCUCUUUCUUGUUCACGUUGUCGCUUAUUUUCAAUGCCUUUUUUCUCACUCCCUCUCCAAAUUUCUCCACAACCACAUCUCUAAUCACCUUUGCGACCUCUUCUCUUUGCAAACUUCCUUCACCUGUUCUCUUAACCUCCACACCAACACCCACCUCCUCCACUAGUCUAGCGUUGAUCGGCUGGUCAAGAUGCAUAGGCAUGGCUAUAAUUGGAACACCAAACUUGAUGCUCUCCAACACUGAGUUCCAUCCGCAGUGACUCACAAACCCCCCAACACUAGAAUGCUGCAGUAUCUUUGCCUGUGGGGCCCAACCCUCCAUUAUCACUCCCUUCUCUCCCACCCUCUGUAAAAACCCUUCUGGUAACACCUCUUCAACCCUAGUACUUCUCUCCUCCUUAGAAAAUCUUAUAACCCAAAUGAAGCUCACUUUGCUAAGCUCUAAUCCGUGAGCUAUCUCUUCUAUUUGCUCCUUGGACAGAAAGUACUCACUGCCAAAGCAAACAUACACAACAGAAGACCUUUCCAUUUUGUUCAGCCAUUUCAUGAUCCAUGUUUCCUCAUCAACUUUUUGAUCCAUUGGCUCUUGAACAAGCGUGCCAACAGGCACGAUCUUCUUCCCCGUUAAAUCAGAGAGAUAAUCAAUAUAUUUUUCUUCAAUCUCGCUGGAUGUCUUGACCAAAAUGAUGUUACAAGAUCGAGCACUGCAUUGCUGAACACGGUCUCCGUCUUUGAUGCCAUUUGCUGAAGAUUCCAACAAAUUGUUGAACUUUUCAGCUUCGUAAUGUUGAAGAUAAAUCGAAGGAAAAGGAAACUUGACACUAGGGUUCUUGAGAUGUUGAAUACUAAAUGAAGUAAAGGCAGCACCCAUGGUGGUGAAUUCAAUGGAUGGAAAAUUUUGCAAUGAAGCUAGAGAGGGCGCCCAUGGUUGAAGAACAUCAUAUAUGAGCAAAUCUGGACUUAGGGUUUUGAGGAUGUUGGAGAAGUUGUUGCUGGACAUGCUGAAAGCCGUUUUGAGAGUGGACAUGAGAUGGGGAGGGAGGCCAUUGGUGGUGUGGUAGUGCGGUGGGAGUUCAGGCAAGUCAUCAUGUGGAAGAUGGAGUUCCACAAAUUCAAUGCAAUGAGAAUAUUUUUGGGAGAGUUUAGGCUUGAUGGAGCUGAGAUUUACAGGCGUGGAACAAAUAAAGAUGUGAAAAUUUCUCUUGGUGGUCAGCUUCUUGGCUAGCUCUAGGUAGGGAGAUAUAUGGCCGUGAGCUAGCCAUGGAAGCAAAAGAAUAGUAAGGCUUCUUUGGUCAGAGAAAACCAUAUUUUGUUUUCCUUUGACUUGUUUUCCUUUGACUCUUUUGCUUGAGGUUGCUCGAUUAUAGGCUUAUUGGUAGUUUGUUUGUGGCUAGCUCUAUGCAUAUAUAUAUAUAUAUAUAUAUAUAUAUAUAUAUAUAUAUACACACACAAAAACGCGUGAUGAUUGGAACAUGCACACGUAAGUUCCAGAGAGUGAUGAUUGGCCUAUGAUAAAGACUCGAAACAAGAAUAGUUUAAAUUUUCUUCUUUGUUUGGCUUGAUAUAAGACGAAUGCACCAAACAAACCGACUAAAUGCCGACACAAUAAUUAGGUACGUAAUAAUAUCAACUUUCAUUAUAUAGAUCUGAGAAACAAAAAGUUGAACUUUGAUGACAAGCGAUAUUAAGGAAGGGCACAAUCGAACUUAGGAUCUCGAAUGUUGAAGUACAUGCUCUUAACAACUUGAGCUAUAAGGUAUUUGUAAUGACAAUUUAUGGUUUUAAUUAUACUUUUGAAUAGUUGCUUCCUUCUCUUUCAUUUUUAUUUUUAUUUGUUUAUAUUUAACUCUAAUUUUAUUUAUAUUUCUGGUCAAGGUAUAAAGACUUUGAAUCUCUCUCCAAUUAUUUUUCACAGCCGAAACUCCUUUAGUUUCCACAAAUCUUUUUAAACAUUUCAGGCAUAUGUAUGUUUCCGAGUCGGAUGGUUCACGUAACCAAGAAAUUUAAACUUGUUUUUGUUUGUUCCUCCGAAGAAAGCACAACAAAAGGACAACCUACAACCAAUACUUCUCAUUGAAUUUGUUGCCGUGAAUGAUUAGGACUCUGCCCAAACUAGUAGUUGCGUUUCUGAAUUGUUUGAAAACACAUAUCAAAUUAUGAUUUCUCCUCCCCGAAAGAAAAAUUGACGUAGAAGUAUCAUGAUCUUGAUGACACAAAUUAGAAUCUAGGGUUUUCGAAGUGCCUAAUGGACAACUACUUAUUUAGAAAUAUAUAUAUUUUUGUGGCUAAAAUUUAAAUUUAUUAUAUAUAUUCUCAAUGCAGAAACACAUAAAUCUAAGUUCGAAUUCAUCCUUUUUUUGUUUUUUUUUUUUUGUUUUUUUAACCCAGAAGAAAAAUUGAGUCCCACUCUGCUGUGUAGAAUGCGCGUUUAGUAUAGAUUUUUUUAUUUUUGAGUCUCUUAUCUGGUUCCCGAGCUUCUACAUUUAGGUCUCGUGUAUUUAUCUGCAUUUUCUUAAAUCUAAAUCACUCAAACAAUCUAACCACUUAACAAAUGACACGUACUCAAACUUAAAAUCAGAAUGGAUGGAGUAGAGGCUUACACCGAUGAUUCUUGGUCAAGACUUGAGAGACAGAUGGAGACGAGGCAUGACAUAAAGUCUGAAGAAGAGAAACGAGGAAGCUUCAUUUAGAUGGUGGUGUAAGUGCAUACGUAAAGUCCAGAUUCAACAGGAAAGCAUCUUAAACGUAAAGAAAAUAAGUUUACCAGAAGCAAAAGAGAUACUGAAGUAAUUGUUUAUCAACUGAACUUAAACGAAAUAUUAACUCUUUGUUGUGCCAUAAGCACAAGAUCUUAUGAAAAAAAAUUCAAGAUAAACCAUAUAAUAUUGGGAGAUUCACGUUUAUACCGAAUAUAGGAAUUCAAAUUAUAAAAUAAAUAAAUAAAUAAAAUAAUCGAUAUGAAAUGGACUUUAGAAACACACACAAAGCCUAUUUACAACAUAACAAAAAGGUUUUUCCCUUCUUUUAAAUUACAAAACUGCCAUUGAUUUCUUAAAACAAACCCAACUCCAAAACCUCAUUAAAAAAGCACAAAACACUCAAUAGGGUGUCAAAGUAAUUUAAUAAUAAAAAAUAAAUUCAAUAAGGCCAAUUGAAUUUUUUGGAUUUUUUUUUGGGUUUGUUUAUAGAAAUUAAUGGUGUAGGGUUUAUCUAUAUUAUUGGUGUUAAGAAUGAAUAAUGACUAAAUAUCUCUAUAAUAUUUUCUAACUCACAAAAUAAUAUAGAAAAUAAAUGCAAGAACAAGAAAAUAGCAAUAUGCAAUUUAACGAAGCUGCUUACAAUCAGUGCAAAUGAGCAAACAAAUUCGCUAUUAAUUUAUGAAGUGUUUUUGUAUUUACAAUACCGCCUCUUGAAUGUCCACCAUACAAUAAUAUAGUUGCAUCAUUAAAAACUUUACUUGAAAAAUCGUUUGGGACAAAACUUAAGCUAAGAGAAAAAGAGUGCAACACAAAUGAUAUUGACAUCACAUAUGUCUCUCCUACAGAGUGAGCUUUGGUGAUGCUUGUAUAAAAAUUGCUUUCACAUCAUUAUUGGGAGAUGUAUGUAUGUCAUCAAUCAUUUGAAUCUUGUUGAGGUUAAAGUAAAACCAAAAAAAUAUCAAGGGCCAUUUUCAUAUAGUUUUUCACAAUAAAAAUUAACAAAAUAACUUCAUGUUCUUUAAUAUCAUCAAAAAAAUAAUAUAAACAAACUCAUAGUUUACCUUUUCAAUGAUAAGUGUUUGGAAAAUUUACAUGGAAUAAUAUUUGGUAUGCUAUGCUAGCAUCUCAUAAGCUCUUCAAGAGACCUAAAUUUUAUGAUAACUUCUUAAAAAAAUUUGAAUACUUUUCAACAAUAUUAAACUUGAAUUCAAACUCAUAAUUCAAUCAAAGUACUCAUUGAGGCAAUUUAGAUCAUUUUCAUUUUAAGAAAAUUGGGUGCAUACAUUGAGCUUCAUGCCCUUUACCUUCUUAGAGAUUUUCUUCGAGCAAUUUAUAUUGCAUGACAGAUUAUAUCUCUUAGAAUUUGUUCUUAUGUAUUCUUCAAGAGAUCUCUUCUUGCAAUAUGCUUCAAACACUUCAUAAUCUUUAUAGAUUUUUCAUGUAGAUUUAAGGUCUCCAUGAAUAUUGAGAUUGAAACAAGGAGUAAAAUAAAAGUUUAAGAAAAAUUUUCCCUGAUUAUUUUGUAAUUAUAAUGUUGGUGAAAACCUAAUUUCCUUUCUGAAAUUUGUGAAAUUUGUUAUUUGGCUAAGCUAAAAGUAUAAUAUUGACAAUAAAACGUAUACGAAAGUUUCUCUUUGGCUGGCUUCUUGGCUGGCUCUAGGAAGGGACAUUGCGGCCAUGAGAUAACCAUAGGAAGCAUAAUAAGAAUGCUUGGAUGCUCUGAACAAUCCAUUUUCUGACUCUUUUUCUUGAGGCGGUUGUUUUCUUAGGCCCAUCAGAGUUUAUGGUCGACAGAUAAGCUUCAAACACAUGCAUUGGUCGUGUCAGUUGCGAUAAACUCUUCCCAACAAUCUGAGACUCACAUCACUCCAAACACAUAAAAAGAAGUGGAAAUUUGCUAUUCUUUGUCUUUGUUUGGACAGCUAAUAGCAAAGCAUUGGAAACAUCGAAAAAAGAAAGUUAAUUAAUUUAAGAAAAACAAAGAAAUCCUUCUUUUUUUUUCUUUUUUUUUUCAGCAAACCGAAACAUAAAAUCCGAAAAAGAAGAAGGCAUGUCCAAAAUUACAUCUUGAAUUUAUUUUGGAGAUUCACUAUUAUACUCAAAUUAUAUAUGAAAUAAAUUUUAGAAACACACAUGACGCCAAUUUACAAUAUAACAAAAAAACUUUUAACUUCUUGUAAAUUACAAAAUUGUUAUCGAUUUCUUAAAACAAGCCUAAUCCUAAAACCUCAUAAAAAAAAAAUCAAAACACUCAAUAAGGCAUCAAAGUAAUUUAAUAAUUAAAAUUAAAUUUAAUAGGGUCAUCUGUCAUUUUUUGGAUUUUUUUCGAAGUUGUUUAUAAAAAUUAAAAUAAUGUAUAGUUUGUUUAUAAAAAUUAAAUGAUGUAGAGUUUCUUUAUAUAAUUAAUGUUAAUAAUGAGUAUAUGAAUAAAUGUCACUUUUCUUUAUUAACCAUUUAUAAUAUAUGAACUCAAGACUUCCUAUCGAACACCGAAUGGUCUUUCCAUUCCUUGUUAAUUCAAAGUCUGAAAAUGUUCGGUGUCAGCUCAUGAAUUUAAAGGCUUAAAGGCUCAAAACUUGAACGAAUAUGAAAGAAAAAAGUCGUUCACCGUUCAUCCUCUUCCUGCAGCUGUGCAUGCUAAUCACCCACUGAAUUAAACAUACAAAUACGCUUUAUGUUUUCUCAAAUUGUUCUUUGAACUAAGUAGAGGUUGGAAUACACUCGGGGUCAACAUUGUUCAAAUACAAAACACUUCUUAAUUUUAUAUUUUAUCAAAACAGAUCGAAACUUCAUUCAAACUGAGAACCUAGAUUACAAAACUACCAGAAAAACUGGAAUCUGCACUGUGGCCUCAUUAAAACCUUGCUUUAAAAAACUCCUAAAAGAGGAGAAUUCAGUCAAGAAAAAAGAGUACCACAGCAAGUGAAAUCCGAUAUCAUACUUCAUUCCUUUCUCAUACAAAGUUGAAUCAACUGCUCUACCACCCCAUCUAUCUCUUCAUCCUCUCUCUUUUUCAUGUUGUCUCUCAAUUCCAUUGCCUUUCUUUUCAAACCCUGUCCAUUUUCUUCCACCACCACAUCUCUGAUUACUUUUGCUAUCUCGUCCCUUUUCAGCCUCCCGUUCUCGUUGCCGCCUCCUCCCAUUCUCUUAACCUCCACACCAACUCCAACGUCCUCUACUAUUCUAGCGUUAAUAGGCUGGUCAAGAUGCAUAGGCAUGGCUACAAUUGGAACGCCAAACUUGAUGCUCUCCAACACUGAGCUCCAUCCACAGUGGCUCACAAACCCACCAGCACUAGAAUGCUUCAAUACUUUUGCCUGUGGAGCCCAACCAUCCACUAUUAUUCCCUUCUCCCCCACCCUCUCAAAAAACCCUUCUGGUAAUACCUCUUCAACCCUAGUACCUUUCUCUUCCUUAGGAAAUCUUAUAACCCAAAUAAAACUCACUUUGCUAAUCUCUAGCCCAUGAGCUAUCUCUUCUAUUUCCUCCUUGGAUAAAAAGUACUCACUGCCGAAGGAAACAUACACCACCGAAGAUCUUUCUCUAGUGUUUAGCCACUUCAUGAUUUUUGUUUCCUCCGAAUCCACUUCUUGCUCUAUAAGGUCUUGAACAAGUGAACCAACAGGCACAAUCUUCUUCCCAAUUAGAUCAGAGAGAUAAUCAAUAUAUUUUGCUUCAAUCUCUCUAGAACUCUUAACUAAUACGAUCUUACAAGAACGAUCGCUGCACUGCUUAGCACGGUCUCCAUCACUGAUGCCAUUUGAUGAAGAUUCUAACAACAUCUUGAUCUUACUAGUCUCGUAAUAGAUUGAAGGAAACGGAAAUUUGACACCAGGUUUCUCGCCAUGGUGGGUACAAACUGACAUCAUGGCAGCACUGGUUGUGAAGAACUCGAUGGCUGGAAUGUUUUGUAACAAAGCUAGAGAGGGUGCCCAUGGUUGAAGAAAAUCAUAAAUUAGCAAAUCCGGGUGUAGGGUUUUGAGGAUGUUGGAGAAGUUAGGGCUUGCCCUGUCGAAGGCGGUUUUGAGAGUGGACAUGAGGUGGGGUGGGAGGCCAUUGGUAGUGUGGUAAUGAGGUGGGAGUUCAGGCAAGUCGUCAUAUGGAAGAUGUAGUUGCACGAGUUCAAUGCAACGAGAGUAUUUUUCAGAGAGUUGUGGCUUGAUGGAUCUGAGAUUUACAGGUGUGGAACAAAAAUAGAUGUGAAAAUUUCUGUUGGUCAGCUUCUUUGCUAGCUCUAGGUAGGGAGAUAUGUGUCCAUGAGCUAACCAUGGAAACAUAAGAACACUGAAUUUUCUUUGCUGAGAAGAAUCCAUUUUUUCAGACUCUCUCCAUUCAGGUCGUUUGUUUUAUAGAUCUAAUAAGUGAGAUGAAAAGAUGACAAAAUAUAUACAGAUGAGUCAUGUGAAUCUAGGUUUUUUCUUCGUAGUCAGAAGAGUCGUGCGUAAGUGCAUGCGUGUAUACAAGACAAAAGACAUACGUUAGACUUCUUUAUCUUCGUUCGUGCUGAUAUAUAUUAAGAAACAGACCCUUGCAACUCUAAUAUCCUAGACAAAAAUUCAAUUUUAAAAACUGAUGCUAUGUCCUGUGUUUUCCUAAACAAUCCCUAUUUUCUGUAGUCUUUCAAUUAUUCUAAAUUUGCUCAACAUUCAAUAUAACAUCAAUUUCUUAUAAAUCCCUGAACUUUCUCUAGCAUUCAAAAUUUUAAAACAUUCUCAAAGUAAUUCGGCUUCAAAGGAAUGGUAAACUUAGUAAUGGCUUCUUUUCCCCUUUCACGAUGCAGUGGCUGAGAGUUCUGAGAACGGAAGUUGUAGUUGGGUGACUUUGAUUCUUUUUAGCUGAUGCCUACUGCUUGAAUGAAAUGGAGCAAAGAGGUCAUCAGUACUUACACUGCUACUAGGAGGGUAAGCUUGAUUAUGUGUAUACUAUAACUUUAGAGUUUUGGUAUUUGGAAUGAUGAUAAUUUCAAUGUUACAUUUAUUUUGUUUACUACACUAUGUUUCUUUGUUGAACUCAAAUGUCAUGCUGAUAAAAAGAAAUAUAUUGUUGUAUGAAAUUGAAUCAAUAAGGAAAUUGACUGAGAUUUAAAAAUAAAAUUACACAGACACAGCAUGCAAUAUUAAUGCAAUAUUAAAUCUGUGUUAAAUAAUGUAGGACAGAUAGAUUAGCUGAUCGAGGAGCAGCUGGAUAAGCCCGUGCAUGUCGUUGUGCCAGAAAAGCCCAAUUCGUGCAAGUAUGGGCCCUGAACUCUUAAUUAGGCUAUGAUCUGUCAUUUUGAAGAGAACGGCGUGACAAGUGCAACUCACUGCUGUAUUGUGACAUACGGACUAUUUUAGUCAAAUUCUAUCAUUUACAUUGCAUUUUCAGCAUUUAAAGUUUUUUAAAAAAUUUGGAAACUUUUGUUAUUUUCCUUUUUUGUUUUCUAAUUAGCUUUCUUAGCAAGUCUAGGGGUUCUCUUGUAUAAAAGGAAUGCAUUGGAGCAUCCUAAACUAUUCAGUUUAUUAUCAAUCAAAUACUUUUGAGUUAUACUAAAUUUCGGAUGGAUCCGGCAUGUUACUUGCAGGGUUAUCAUUCGAUCUCCUUAUUCCCUAUAUCUCGCUACGUCAGCUGUCAUGGCCAACUGGGGAAGUCGUGUAAUGGAUAUCACUUAUGGUGUGCACCAUGUGUAGUAAAUAGUUGUCCAAAACCUUUCCCGCAGCUCUAGUGCAAGGGUGUAUUGUGUGCACGUUUGAGGCGUGCAUAUAGGUUCCGUAAAUUUCAUGAGCUUUUUAUGGCUAGUUCUUUCGGGAAGUGCAUAGGGAGUGAUCAACUUCUUGGUCACUAACCUGUUUGAUAUUCUUAGUAAUGGGGUGUUAGUUGGAUUGACUUAGACUUUUAGUUUGCUCUCAAGUGGUCCCGAGUUGAAGCCCCCACGGUAUCCGUGUGUGUGAAUUUUCCCCUUCCCUUUCCUAAUUUAACAACAACAACAAAAAAUACUUAUUUGAUAUCCUGGUUUAUUUAUUUAUUCUUUUUUAAAAAAAAAUUUAAAACUUUUUUUAUUAAAAGGGGUAAUAUCAUACUAAACUCACACACACUACAUAGAUGAUAGGACUUGAAUUCACCAUAAUCGUUUUUUAGGAGCAAUUACUUAUGGUAAACAAUUACUUCAAACCACUACACUAGUAGUCAUUAGCGGCGUUUUAUAUUCUUGCACAAGCUAUGUGGUCACUAAUAUUUUGUGUAUUAAGGGCUUGUGGUGUUUCAAUGUUGAUAAAAAUGCCAAAUCAGAAUUCAAUACAAGAGUACAACCACCUAAAGGAUAGCAAUGAACAGAUACUAUUUUAUCCACACAAAAAAAAGUUUAUCUGAUAUGAGCAUUAUUCAAAAUCAUUAGAAAAUGAGUACUGAAUGCUAAAAAGACGCUAAAACGUAGAGUCAAAGCCAACAUUCACAUGAUCGGCCAUCAGAUACGCUUAGCAUUCAAAAUCAUUAAAAUUAUUAUUGAAGUCUCAACUCCUUUUCACUUAAAAGUAGAUAUUUGUUUCCCUUCUCCUACAAAUUGCAUCAAUUCCUCCACGACCCCAUCUAUCUCUCCAUCUUUGUUUUUCAUGUUGUCUCUUAAUUCCAAUGCCUUUUUUCUCAUGCCCUCUCCAAUUUUCUCCACAACCACCUUUCUGAUCACCUUCGCCAUCUCUUCUCUUUGCAAAAUUCCUUCUCCUGUUCUUUUAACCUCCACACCAACACCCACCUCCUCUACUAAUCUAGCGUUAAUUGGCUGGUCAAGAUGCAUAGGCAUGGCUAUAAUUGGAACACCAAACUUGAUGCUCUCCAACACUGAGCUCCAUCCACAGUGACUCACAAACCCACCAAC